ACGUCCUGGAGUAACGUCCUCCAGGCCCACGGAGGGAAGGAAGACAGGGGCCAAAUGAUCCAGAGGUAGAAAACUGAAUGUGCCCACCUGGCCUUGAGGAAAGGGAGGUUGACCGCUGUAGGAACUUGACAAGCUGCUGUACCCUGGAGGGUGAAGGGAAAUACCAUCAAAGGUUACCGCUAGAACAUUCCUUCAGAUAUAUAUGAAGGCUAAACGAGAUGGACUCCAGGAAGUUUGCAACAGACCCUUAUAAACCUGAAUAAUGUGAAUCUACUCUGGGGAUGCAGAUCCACUUUUGGUCAAGAGAAAAACUUAAGAGUAUGAGCACAUAAGCCUAAAGAACUGGCCAUGAGCUGUGGUUAUAUCAACACGGUGAACACUGAGACCUUGUAGCAGCCAGAGAACUAAAAGCUGUGGAAUCAGCAUCACGAUGACUCUCAAAUUUCUCAAGUUCUUUUGGUCAAAGCAGAAGCUCUGGACCUAAUCCUCGUCAGGCUUCUGUACCGGUUUUGAUUUGGCAUGGCUCAAUAAUGGAAUGGAGUGUGUCCAA